ACUGAACGCUGGCGGCAUGCUUUACACAUGCAAGUCGAACGGUAACAGGGUGCUUGCACCGCUGACGAGUGGCGAACGGGUGAGUAAUGCGUCGGAACGUGCCGAGUAGUGGGGGAUAACGCAGCGAAAGUUGUGCUAAUACCGCAUACGUACUGAGGUAGAAAGUGGGGGACCUUCGGGCCUCACGCUAUUCGAGCGGCCGACGUCUGAUUAGCUAGUAGGUGAGGUAAAGGCUCACCUAGGCGACGAUCAGUAGCGGGUCUGGGAGGAUGAUCCGCCUCACUGGGACUGAGACACGGCCCAGACUCCUACGGGAGGCAGCAGUGGGGAAUUUUGGACAAUGGGCGAAAGCCUGAUCCAGCCAUGCCGCGUGUCUGAAGAAGGCCUUCGGGUUGUAAAGGACUUUUGUCAGGGAGGAAAUCCCUAGUGCUAAUAACACUGGGGGAUGACAGUACCUGAAGAAUAAGCACCGGCUAACUACGUGCCAGCAGCCGCGGUAA
rnacentral:rRNA from 1 species